AAUAGAUACCCGGGUAGUCCACGCCGUAAACGAUGAGUGCUAAGUGUUAGAGGGUUUCCGCCCUUUAGUGCUGCAGCAAACGCAUUAAGCACUCCGCCUGGGGAGUACGGUCGCAAGACUGAAACUCAAAGGAAUUGACGGGGGCCCGCACAAGCGGUGGAGCAUGUGGUUUAAUUCGAAGCAACGCGAAGAACCUUACCAGGUCUUGACAUCCUCUGACACCCCUAGAGAUAGGGCUUCCCCUUCGGGGGCAGAGUGACAGGUGGUGCAUGGUUGUCGUCAGCUCGUGUCGUGAGAUGUUGGGUUAAGUCCCGCAACGAGCGCAACCCUUGAUCUUAGUUGCCAGCAUUCAGUUGGGCACUCUAAGGUGACUGCCGGUGACAAACCGGAGGAAGGUGGGGAUGACGUCAAAUCAUCAUGCCCCUUAUGACCUGGGCUACACACGUGCUACAAUGGGCAGAACAAAGGGCAGCGAAGCCGCGAGGCUAAGCCAAUCCCACAAAUCUGCUCUCAGUUCGGAUCGC
rnacentral:rRNA from 1 species